rnacentral:rRNA from 1 species
GACGAACGCUGGCGGCGUGCUUAACACAUGCAAGUCGAACGGAAAGGCCCUGCUUUUGUGGGGUGCUCGAGUGGCGAACGGGUGAGCAACACGUGAGUAACCUGCCCUUGACUUUGGGAUAACUUCAGGAAACUGGGGCUAAUACCGGAUAGGAGCUCCUGCUGCAUGGUGGGGGUUGGAAAGUUUCGGCGGUUGGGGAUGGACUCGCGGCUUAUCAGCUUGUUGGUGGGGUAGUGGCUUACCAAGGCUUUGACGGGUAGCCGGCCUGAGAGGGUGACCGGCGACAUGGGGACUGAGAGAGGGGCCAGACUGCUACGGGAGGCAGCAGUGGGGAAUAUUGCGCAAUGGGCGGAAGCCGGAUGCAGCAACGCCGGGUGCGGGAUGACGGCCUUCGGGUUGUAAACCGCUGUCGCCGGUGACGAAGCGUGAGUGACGGUAAUGGGUAAAGAAGCACCGGCUAACUACGUG